UGAGUGAGAUGCUCAAAUGCGUCGAUUAAGGCUUGUCUGUUCACAUCAAUUUUUUUAAUCUCUUCGUUGGCAACACUGUAGGUGGCACCAGUUCCAAAAUGCUGAAGCAGCUCCCCCAAGGUUGUGGAUAUUUUGUUCAGGUCGUCACAGAACUGAUACAGAUCCUCAGCCACCGUCACUGCACUAUAUAAACUUAUAAUGCCCUUAUCUAAUUUUUCAAUUUCCAUUUUCAGCUCUUCAAUCUUCCCAUUCAUUUGCUGCAGCUGACAACAUUUCUCUUUCAAGUUUCCCGCAAGUCCCUUUUUCAACCCUCUGGUAGAUUCAUCUUCCUCGGGAAUUUCUUUUUCAAGUAAUUUAAUCAGCUCAAUCCUUUGGAGGAGUUCAUCUUUUAGCUGUGCUUCUGUUUUUGCGUUUGCUUUCUCUUUCAGCUUUUUUUCUUGUUC
rnacentral:lncRNA from 1 species